ACAGCGACAAGGCAACUCUCGUUCCCAAAGUCAAAACCAACCACACUCAUCUUUAGCUUGGCAGACUAAUUCAGGCGAUAAAUAGGCCGAAUGGGUGCAGUAAAAAGUGUUGAUUGCCUGACGAGGGAGGAGGGAGGAGGGAGGAGGGAUCAUGUCUGAGGCGGUCUGCGAACUUGCCAACAGAGAGAGUUGAAGAAGAGGAAGAGGAAGAGGAAGAGCGAGGUAGUUGCAGAUGCCCACAAGACCGGGAAACGACGGAGGUAACUGUCGAUCCUCACCUGAUUUUCAAACCUACCCUUCC